rnacentral:Y_RNA from 1 species
AGUUGGUCCAAAGGUGGUACAUUUUCUUGAUUGGAGAUUCACAGAGCAGGUCAAAUUCCUUGUUCUACUCUUUCCCCCUUCUCAUGACUGCACUUGACAAGUCUUAA